CUCCGUUGUCGUUUUUUCAAAGCCUCAGUCUUCUCUAUCUCUCGUUGAACAUGGCGACCAUUGCAACACAACCCUCAACAUUUCACACUCCGAACCCUCGUUCAGCCGCUUCUCUCAACCCAGCUUUCUCAACAGCCAUAGCUUUCCCAUCAAAGCUUUCUGGGGUUCUCUCAAAACCUCUCAACUAUGAGCCAAGGUCAAGGAGGAGUACGGCGGUGUUGGUCUCUGAAAGAAACGUGGACGAGAAUAUCGCUGGCUCUGCAUUUUCAUCUAAUGGCUCUAAUCCUUCCUCGUCCCGAUCAAAGGUGAGACGGCACACAAUUUCAGUGUUUGUUGGAGAUGAAAGUGGAAUGAUAAAUCGGAUUGCAGGGGUCUUUGCAAGGAGGGGAUAUAACAUUGAGUCCCUUGCUGUUGGUCUGAACAGGGACAAAGCACUUUUCACAAUAGUUGUGUCUGGAACUGAAAGUGUGCUACACCAAGUUGUGGAGCAGCUUCAGAAGCUUGUGAAUGUUAUAAAGGUCGAAGAUAUAUCAAAUGAGCCACAGGUAGAACGUGAGCUAAUGCUCAUAAAAGUUAAUGCAAAUCCAGAGUACCGUGCUGAGAUUAUGUGGUUAGUGGACACUUUCAGAUCAAGGAUUGUGGAUAUCUCAGAACACUUUCUAACAAUUGAGGUAACUGGAGAUCCAGGGAAGAUGGUUGCUAUGCAAAGGAACUUAAGCAAGUUUGGAAUCAAAGAAAUCGCCAGAACUGGAAAGAUUGCAUUAAGAAGGGAAAGAAUGGGUGCAUCUGCUCCAUUUUGGCGAUUCUCAGCAGCUUCAUAUCCAGAUCUUGAAGUAACAAUGCCUACCCGUGGUCCUCUUGAACAUGCAGAGCUCAAUGGUGGAAAUGACGUAUCUGCAGGAGGUGAUGUUUAUCCUGUGGAGACAUCUGAUGGAUUUGCAUUCAAUCAAGUUCUUGAUGCUCACUGGGGUGUUCUCAAUGAUGAAGACACAAAUGGACUUCGAUCGCACACCUUAUCCUUGCUUGUAAAUGACUUUCCUGGAGUUCUGAACAUUGUUACUGGGGUUUUUGCUCGAAGGGGCUAUAACAUUCAGAGUUUGGCUGUUGGACGUGCUGAAGUUGAGGGGCUCUCUCGCAUUACAACUGUUGUUCCCGGAACAGAUGAAUCAAUUAGCAAGUUGGUGCUGCAACUUUAUAAGCUAGUAGAUCUUCAUGAGGUUCAUGAUAUUACCAAUUUGCCAUUUGCUGAGCGCGAAUUAAUGUUGAUAAAGAUUGCUGUCAAUGCUACUGCUCGACGGGAUGUACUUGACAUUGCCAACAUUUUUAGGGCCAAAGCUGUUGAUGUGUCUGAUCACACAGUAACGCUUGAGCUUACGGGGGAUUUGGACAAGAUGGUUGCGCUGCAGAGAUUAUUAGAGCCCUAUGGCAUUUGUGAGGUGGCGCGAACUGGGCGGAUAGCACUUGUCCGGGAGUCAGGUGUGGAUUCCAAGCACCUUCGUGGAUAUUCAUUUCCAUUAUAAUUUGAGAACUUGGGAAAGCAUCUCUGGCAGUGUUGGAGAAACUUGAGUGAAUUAUCCAUCUGCGCAUUCAGUCUCUGUAUAUAUUUGUCUGACCAAGGAAAGGGUAAAAUGGAAAGAAGUUGGGGCCAAAGGAAUUCAGCCUCAAGGUGAUAGCAUUCCAAGGACCUAUAGCUUUAGGGGAAUGAAGAUGUACAUGAAGUAAGUUACUCGUGAGCAACUACAACAACUUGUUUUCCAACAUUGCGGCCUGUGAAGAGUCCAACGAGAGCUGCCGGUCCACUCUCAAGGCCUUCAGCUAUGUCCUCCACAUAUAUAACCUUCCCUUCUUUGAUGUAAGGUAGAACCAACUCCAAAAACUUUGGAUAAAGGUGAUCGUAAGCGGGAACCAGGAAUCCUUCCAUGCGGAUCCGUUUCACUAUCAGUUGCAAUAAAUUGUGCACACCUUCAGGAUGGUCAA